UUUUGUGUCUUCCUUAUUGUGUUUCUUCAAUAUGAUUGCUUGACUAACUUACAACGAUGUGAAUGAGGUCGAAGCUUUGCACAGUUUGCAGCCCUUUUCUAAGGGCAGUUUUCCGAUGCAGAUUCUUUUAUUUUAUUUCAUGUUUUUGACUCUUGCGAGGAGAUAAGCCACCAUGACUGUAGCUGGAUUCUCACGAACCAGCUGCAGUCAUGCUCUUUGUCAUCCUGAUAAUCACGUGCUGUUGCAACGCAGCUUUCAGUGUUUUUAUUUUUAUUUUUAUUUAUUUUUAUUGUUUUUUUGAGGGGGCCGUGAGGCGGACACAGGAAGGUAAUCGAACGGUGUCAGUUCCGCACAAGGUUUAGAAGCAUGCCAGUCAUGGCUUUUGAGCAUGUUGGCACUAUGUGUGGUGGUGAUAGCAGCGGUCGUGGUGUUAGUACUCGAGAGCUUCGUUCCAACGAAGUUGUGUGAUGGCCUCGUCUGUCGCUUCAGCACCGUAUAUCAAAGACCAGCUUGCAAAGCUGCUCCCGCUACUACACAAGAGCAUUGGCCCACGCAUCAACUUCAUGUAGGAGAAUCCCUGGUACGCCUCGGCGUGACCUCAAUGCACCCACACGAGGACCGCUCUAAGCUUCUGGAGCGGCGCCAACUUGCAAAGCCCUUCGGUAUGGUUGUGGUUCACUGCUGAAGGACCAAGUCAAAAGGUAGAAUUUGAGUAAAGAAAAAGGAAAAAAAAAUGUGCACAGUUUCUUCUUUGUGUAUACAAAGUAUCUAUGGA